CCCUUAGAUGUUCUGGGCUGCACGCGUGCUACACUGAUAUUGCCAAUAUGUCAUUCUUAUCCGAAAUGGAUUGGGUAAUCAAGUAAUGAAAUUUCAUGCUUGGAAUCGGUAAUUGCAAUUUUAUCGUGAACGAGGAAUUCCUAGUAAGCACUAGUCAUCAGCUAAUGUUGAUUAUGUCCCUGCCCUUUGUACACACCGCCCGUCGCUACUACUGAUUGGGUGUUCAAGUGAGAUGCUUAGACCCCUGUUGCAUGGUUCAUUAUUGUGCUCCGAAAGGAAAAAGUUUCAAGCUUGAGUGUCUAGAGGAAGUAAAAGUCGUAACA
rnacentral:rRNA from 1 species